rnacentral:rRNA from 1 species
GACGAACGCUGGCGGCGUGCUUAACACAUGCAAGUCGAACGGAAAGGCCCUGCUUUUGUGGGGUGCUCGAGUGGCGAACGGGUGAGUAACACGUGAGUAUCCUGCCCUUGACUUUGGGAUAACUUCAGGAAACUGGGGCUAAUACCGGAUAGGAGCUCCUGCUGCAUGGUGGGGGUUGGAAAGUUUCGGCGGUUGGGGCUGGAAUCGCGGCUUAUCAGCUUGUUUGUGGGGUAGGUGUUUACCAAGGCUUUGACGGGUAGCCGGCCUGGGAGGGUGACCGGCCACAUGGGGACUGAGGUACGGCCCAGACGGGUAUGGGAGGCAGCAGGGGGGAAUCUUGCACAAUGGGCGGGAGCCUGAGGCAGCAACGCUGCGUGCGGGAUGACCGCUUUCGGGGUGUAAACAGAUGUCGCCUGUGACGAAGCGUGAGUGACGGUAACGGGUAAAGAAGCACCGGCUAACUACGUG